rnacentral:lncRNA from 1 species
AGCUAUUCUCAAUCUAUUGAAUUUUAAUUGGAAAACAUCAAAGCUUUGUGUUUCGCAAUUUUUUUUCAAGAAAAAAGAAUAUUUUAUAUAUACAUAAGUUAUGUACUGUUAAGUUUGUGGGUUUACCUCUUUGCAAAUAUAUAUGUCUUACCACUAAAUUCAUUCAGUAGGUUGAAAGAUCUAAAGCAUGUGACUGUGAGGUUGUAAACGGUUGGAGAUGGGUGGUAAAGUGAUUUAUUCCUUUUUAUCGUUUAUUAACUUUUGUAUUUCUUUUUUUGUGGUGGAUUGAUUCUUUAGUAUUUGAGAAUUGGUAUUAGA